GACGAACGCUGGCGGCGUGCUUAACACAUGCAAGUCGAACGGAAAGGCCCUGCUUGCAGGGUACUCGAGUGGCGAACGGGUGAGUAACACGUGGGUGAUCUGCCCUGCACUUCGGGAUAAGCCUGGGAAACUGGGUCUAAUACCGGAUAGGAGCCAUUUUUAGUGUGAUGGUUGGAAAGUUUUUUCGGUGUAGGAUGAGCUCGCGGCCUAUCAGCUUGUUGGUGGGGUAAUGGCCUACCAAGGCGGCGACGGGUAGCCGGCCUGGGAGGGUGGACGGCCACAUUGGGACUGAGAUACGGCCCAGACUCCUACGGGAGGCAGCAGUGGGGAAUAUUGCACAAUGGGCGCAAGCCUGAUGCAGCGACACCGCGUGGGGGAUGACGGCCUUCGGGUUGUAAACUCCUUUCGCUAGGGACGAAGCUUUUUGUGACGGUACCUAGAUAAGAAGCACCGGCUAACUACGUG
rnacentral:rRNA from 1 species